UUGUCCGGAAUUAUGGGGCGUAAAGAGCAUGUAGGCGGAGAUUUAAGUCUGUUGUGAAAAUGCGGGGCUCAACCCCGUAUUGCGAUGGAGACUGAAUUUCUUGAGUGCAGGAGAGGAAAGGGGAAUUCCCAGUGUAGCGGUGAAAUGCGUAGAUAUUGGGAGGAACACCAGUGGCGAAGGCGCCUUUCUGGACUGUGUCUGACGCUGAGAUGCGAAAGCCAGGGUAGCGAACGG
rnacentral:rRNA from 1 species